rnacentral:rRNA from 1 species
UACGUAGGGGGCAAGCGUUGUCCGGAUUUAUUGGGCGUAAAGAGCGUGUAGGCGGCCAUGCAGGUCCGUUGUGAAAACUCGAGGCUCAACCUCGAGACGCCGGUGGAAACCGUGUGGCUAGAGUCCGGAAGAGGAGAGUGGAAUUCCUGGUGGUAGGCGGUGAAAUGCGCAGAUAUCAGGAAGAACACCCGUGGCGAAGGCGGCCUUCUGGACAGUGACUGACGCUGAGACGCGAAAGCGUGGGGAGCAAACAGG